rnacentral:tRNA from 1 species
GCCCGUCUAGCUCAGUCGGUAGAGCGCAAGGCUCUUAACCUUGUGGUCGUGGGUUCGAGCCGCACGGUGGGCG